AUGUUUUUAAACAGAAAAGGAACUAUAGUAUGUCAAGUCAAGGUAAACGAGCCAUAUGUCGGAAGGAUUUUGUGGGAGGACGAGAAAGGAAACGAAAUGGCUGGUGCCUCGAAGACCUUCAAUGAUAAAGGCACAUUUAGCCUUCCACUUGAAAUCACGUAUGACGAAUGGAGCAAGGGGAUAAAGCGCUACUGCGUUGUUGAACAUGAAAAUUUGAUUGAACCACUUAAGGAACUCUAUGAAUGGAGUUUUGGAGGACAGACUCCGCAGUGUUUUUGCUGCCUCCCGUAGAACAUACUAGAAAAGAAACGGUGACCCUGACUUGCUAUGUGAAAGACUUCUUCCCUCAGGAGGUUUUGGUGACUUGGCUUGUUGAUGACGAGGAAGCAGACUCAAAUUACAAAUUCUAUACCACAAACCCCGUAGAGAGCAAUGGAUCCUAUUUUGCUUAUGGACAGUGGAAAAAGAAUGACGUGGUGUACAGCUGUGUAGUUCACCACCAGUCUCUGGUUAACACAACUAAUGCUAUUGUCAGGUCCAUCGGGCACAGAACAUUUGAAAACACCAACCUGGUCAACCUCAACAUGAACAUCCCUGAAACGUGCAAGGCCCAGUAGAUGUUAUUUUGUGUCGUUGUGUCUUCUGCUGUUUGUUGUUUCAUGUUUGUUGCUUGUUAACGCAAAAUCAAAAUAAAAAAAGCACUUUGCAACUCUG